rnacentral:lncRNA from 1 species
UCCACUGCUCAAGGUGACGCAUUCCUUUCAAGCUCUUCCAACCCAAAUGGAAAACAACACUUGUCUCGACAAGUUCUAGAGCUGACGAGCGUCUUCGUACAACAGAUAACCUUGGUGAACCAGCUUUUGCAGUGCACCGAGAUGCAACGUGCCCCAGACAAGGUGUCCCAGAGUAGGACAAGGGCAGACGAAGAACUUCUCCAGCAGCAUCCCGAGUUUUUGGGCAAUGUACACUCUCGAUUGGGCCCCCGAGAUAGCGUAUACUCCAGUCUUAGUGCGUAGAGAAGCGUGCACUCUCGACUAGGCACACGGAUGAGCAUACUAUAGACAUCGAAAUUUGAAUAUUCGUGUUUACGCAUACAUUCACGGUUGGGGUCGCACCCCGAAAGUCAAAUGAGCAACCUUCUAGGCGAAGUGUUCAUUCGUGGCUAAGCCCG